rnacentral:rRNA from 1 species
UACAGAGGGUGCGAGCGUUAAUCGGAAUUACUGGGCGUAAAGCGCGCGUAGGCGGCUUUGCAAGUCGGGUGUGAAAUCCCCAAGCUCAACUUGGGAACUGCAUUCGAGACUGCUUUGCUAGAGUAUGGGAGAGGGAAGUGGAAUUUCAGGUGUAGCGGUGAAAUGCGUAGAUAUCUGAAGGAACAUCAGUGGCGAAAGCGACUUCCUGGACCAAUACUGACGCUCAUGUGCGAAAGCGUGGGGAGCAAACAG